rnacentral:rRNA from 1 species
UACGAAGGGGGCUAGCGUUGCUCGGAAUUACUGGGCGUAAAGGGCGCGUAGGCGGCGCUGCAAGUCAGGCGUGAAAUUCCUGGGCUUAACCUGGGGGCUGCGCUUGAGACUGUGGUGCUAGAGGACGGAAGAGGGUCGUGGAAUUCCCAGUGUAGAGGUGAAAUUCGUAGAUAUUGGGAAGAACACCGGUGGCGAAGGCGGCGACCUGGUCCGUUACUGACGCUGAGGCGCGAAAGCUAGGGGAGCGAACGGG